AACAAGAUCUGUUCGAAAACCGGGAUAACCGAAUUGUCGCUGCGAAGCGUUCGUAGCAAUAUCACUUGUUGAUCGUUUGGUGUCGGCUUUUUUUAUCAUUGUGAAGGAAAAUUUAUCGAGUGUUGGAUUGUUCAUCCAUGCUGUGUUUAGAACGUCCAAAGACGGGUUAGUUUUAC
rnacentral:ncRNA from 1 species